rfam:Asian citrus Psyllid, Diaphorina citri - Florida Strain, whole genome shotgun sequence.
GCUCCCAUGGUGUACUGGUCACUGCGCUCGCCUUGCACGCGGGAGACCCGGGUUCGAUUCCUGGCGGGACCA